GGGCCGGGUCUCCAGGGAGGACCUGAUUUUUCUUCACCCAUAGUUAGGGAGGCGCAAUCGCCCUGGCUUUGGGGCUGGGGCCUCCGGGGAGGUUCCGGUAGGGGCGUUGGAGAGGCCGCUCUUUUUGCAAGGCCCGAGACGGCGGGCCCUGCGCAGGCCGCCCUAUUCCGCGCCCUCAGGGCGUCAGUAUCCGCCUGAGGCCGGAUACCCCAGCUGGGCCCGGAUGCCGUCGAUGGGCCCGGAGCAUCCUCGGCGCUGCCCUCCCAGAGCCCCGCAGAGGCUGAGGUGGCGCGGGGGGCGGGCCCGGCUCCGCGAGAAGCAGCGGCAGCGAGGGCUGGAGGACCCGGGCUACGGGGCUCUGGGGCGUCUGGCCUGGGUGGGACUGAGCCCAUUCGGGGGGACUCCGGGGUUCUGGUGUAGGUAGAUCCGGGGCAGGCUCAGGACCAAGUCCCUCUCCUUCCACCAAGGAGCGCCCAGAGGCCGGCGGGAGCUCCAGGUUCACCUCCUCCUCCUCCAGGGUUAUUUCAAGUCCCAAAAAGCAAGGAUGAACAUCUAGAACGAGAAGAAAAACAAUCUGGAGGUUAGUAUGUGCACACCUGGGGACUCCUGUGUUAACUUCUGGUGUUUCAGCCUAAGAGAGAAUGUUAAUAUAACCCUGGUCCUGGAACACCAUGCUGACCAACACCUACCAGCUUUCAGGAGAUAAGACAGCUGGCUGAUGGGGCAGGGAUCCAGAGAAGGCACGGGUCCACACCUGCACAUGUUGCCCAGUGGCAGAGUUCAUGACAAGCAAUAAGCCCCAGGACAAUGUCAUUCCCAGCCACCUGGCUGUCAUCUGCUCUUUCAUGACCCCUCUCUCCUGGUACCUCUAGGCACUGGCAUGUCCUCCAGAGGCUGUAGGAGGGCAUGAUACUCAGUACUCUCACACCUGCAGGAGGCAAGAAAGAUGGAAACAGCUAAAUACCAUGGCUUCUGGAUUUUUUUUGGUGGGCAUGGCAUAUUUUGCAUUUGCUUUAAUAAUGGUGGAACCCAGUCAGUGGCUUGCAAUACGGAUCUAGAUGACUCUGGACACCUGUAGAGAUUUUGACAAUUUCCAGAAGGUCACAAGUUCUUGGAGACUUUUUCAUGAGUUCUUUGACUGAAAAGGUGGUUCAAAGAGCUUCUAUACUGACUUAGAAAAUGUUGCAGAGGCCAGGUGCGGUGGCUUAUGCCUGUAAUCCCAGCACUUUGGGAGGCCAAGGCAGGCGGAUCAUGAGGUUAGGAGUUUGAGACCAGUCUGACUAACAUGGUGAAACCCCCUCUCUACUAAAAAUACAAAAAUUAGCCGGGCGUGGUGACACACACCUGUAAUCCCAGCUACUCAGGAGGCUGAGGCAGGAGAAUCGCUUGAACCUGGGAGUCAGAGGUUGCAGUGAGCCAAGAUCGUGACACUGGACUCCAGCCUGAGCGACGGAGCGAGACUCUAUCUCAAAAAUAAAAUAAAAAUAAAAAUAAAAUAAAUAAAUAAAUAAAUAAAUAAAUAAAAAGGAAGACAAAAGAAAGUGUUGCAGACACUGGUGAACAGGUAGGCCCUCUCCUGCCACUCCAGGUAAAAGUUUCUUGGCCACAAACCUGAUUUAGCAAUAUCCCUUCAUCUUAGGUGGGUAACAGAAAGCUAUUCAUGACCUAUCCAAGCAUGGAGAGGGGAUUUGACUUAGAAAACUGUUAGGUGGACUAGUUGCUGAAAGAAAGUGCAUUCUAGGGCUCACAGGCCUACACAUAGAGUUGCUAUCACAUAAAGCAUAUGUACGAAUUCUUUCUGAGCCCAUGACAAGAUGAGGGUGCACUUCAUCAGUCUCCUAUGCUGGUAUGAAUAGGUACUUGCCUGAAAAAUAAAAGAAUAAUUCAGGAAGCCCAUUCUUCUACAGGACACCAGGCAGUACAGUAGGAGUCCUGGGGUUGCUGUGGUAUUUAUGUUUUAAGGUUGUCUUUUAAUCAUCUUCAGCAAAUUCAACAGUCUUCAGGAACAUAAAAAAAUUAUUCAACAUUGCAUAAAAACGACCAAAAAUGUAUCCAUGAUAAAGAACUGUACCAAUAUAAUAAUAACAUUAAUAACAAUCAUAAUGGUGAUGAUAUAAAUGUCAAUUUAAUGAAGAGAGUAAUAAAAAUGCAGAUAUUUAAGAACAUAUUCCUGUAAGCCUGUGACAAUGUUCCCAUAUGAGCCCUCAUGUUAUUGAUUAGAUGGAGAAGCUUAGGGCUACAUCUUGAAAUAUCUUCUGUGUUGGCAAAGAAGAGUGGCAGUAGGGAGAAUAAUUCUGAGCCACAUGAGAGCAUAGGCAAAAGUGGAGAUACCUGUGCCAUGUGGAAAUACAUUACAAAUGGACUAUGGCAAAGGGUCUGGCCAGAGUCUUGCCUGACACACGUCGUACAAAAGCCUUCAGUAGUUCACCUCAAGAAAUAGCGUGUCCAGGCUGUAAAUGAGAGGCACUGGGCAGACAGAUCCACACCC
rnacentral:lncRNA from 1 species